rnacentral:rRNA from 1 species
CAAAGCUUUCUUACACCCAAAGAUAAUUCCAANACCUUUCUCUACCCCUUUACCCCCUAUAGAGCAACUCUAUACUUCUAUAGAAACUUUUAUGUUAAAACUAGUAAUAAGAAGCAGACCCUUCUCUUAAACGCAAGUUUGCGUCAGUUCGGACACCCCCCUGACAAUUAACGUUUUUAAUUUUAAAGUAGUAACUUAACAAGAAAAGCCUACUAAAACUUACGUUUACCUUACACUAGCGCGUUACAAGAAAGAUUAAAAGAAAAAGAAGGAACUCGGCAAAUAUUAGUCUCGCCUGUUUACCAAAAACAUCGCCUCUUGCUUAAACAAUAAGAGGUCCAGCCUGCCAGUGACUCAUUGUUCAACGGCCGCGGUAUC